rnacentral:rRNA from 1 species
CAGUCGCCACGGUAAUACAGAGGGUGCGAGCGUUAAUCGGAUUUACUGGGCGUAAAGCGUGCGUAGGCGGCUUCUUAAGUCGGAUGUGAAAUCCCUGAGCUUAACUUAGGAAUUGCAUUCGAUACUGGGAAGCUAGAGUAUGGGAGAGGAUGGUAGAAUUCCAGGUGUAGCGGUGAAAUGCGUAGAGAUCUGGAGGAAUACCGAUGGCGAAGGCAGCCAUCUGGCCUAAUACUGACGCUGAGGUACGAAAGCAUGGGGAGCAAACAGGAUUAGAUACCCCCGUAGUCCCUGUCUCUUAUCU